GACGAACGCUGGCGGCGUGCUUAACACAUGCAAGUCGAACGAUGAACCGCUUCGGUGGGGAUUAGUGGCGAACGGGUGAGUAACACGUGGGCAAUCUGCCCUGCACUCUGGGACAAGCCCUGGAAACGGGGUCUAAUACCGGAUGAUACUGCGGACCGCAUGGUCUGUGGUUGAAAGCUCCGGCGGUGCAGGAUGGGCCCGCGGCCUAUCAGCUUGUUGGUGAGGUAAUGGCUCACCAAGGCGACGACGGGUAGCCGGCCUGAGAGGGCGACCGGCCACACUGGGACUGAGACACGGCCCAGACUCCUACGGGAGGCAGCAGUGGGGAAUAUUGCACAAUGGGCGCAAGCCUGAUGCAGCGACGCCGCGUGAGGGAUGACGGCCUUCGGGUUGUAAACCUCUUUCAGCAGGGAAGAAGCGAAAGUGACGGUACCUGCAGAAGAAGCGCCGGCUAACUACGUGCCAGCAGCCGCGGUAAUACGUAGGGCGCAAGCGUUGUCCGGAAUUAUUGGGCGUAAAGAGCUCGUAGGCGGCUUGUCGCGUCGGUUGUGAAAGCCCGGGGCUUAACCCCGGGUCUGCAGUCGAUACGGGCAGGCUAGAGUUCGGUAGGGG
rnacentral:rRNA from 1 species